rnacentral:rRNA from 1 species
UACGUAGGUGGCAAGCGUUGUCCGGAUUUACUGGGCGUAAAGAGCGCGCAGGCGGUCGAUUUAGUCGUGUGUGAAAGCCCCCGGCUCAACUGGGGAGGGUCACGCGAUACUGAUCGACUCGAAGGCAGGAGAGGGUAGUGGAAUUCCCGGUGUAGUGGUGAAAUGCGUAGAUAUCGGGAGAACACCGGGUGGCGAAGGCGACUACCUGGCCUGUUCUUGACGCUGAGAAGCGAAAGCAUGGGAGCGAACAGG